AUUCUGGGACUCUUAAUGACCCAAAUUUAAGAUCUUUUAUUAUUUUCCCACAUGUCCCUGAGGCUCUGGAAGUUUGGGGGGUUUGUUUUUUUUUCAGUCUGUUUCCUCUCUCUUGUCCAGAUUGAGUAGUUUCUAUUGUUCUUCCAGUUCGGUGACUUUUUUCCUUCUCUGUCACUUCUAUGCUGCUGUUGAGCCCAUCAUGAGAUAUUUAUUUCAGUUAUUGGGUUUUUCUGCCCUAAAUUUUCCAUUUGGGUCUUCUAUUUCUUUUCUGAGGUUUUCUAUUUUCUCAUUUAUUUCAAGCUUGUGAAUAACUGCUUGUUGAAAAAUUAUCACUGACCAUUGGAAAUCUUUGUUGGAUAAUUCUAACAUCUCAGUCAUCUACUGAUAGUCUUUUUUCAUUCACUUUUAUAUCUCACAGUUCUUGGUAAAUUAAGUGAUUUUCAACUAAAACUGAACAUCUUAAUAUUACAUUAUGAGACUCUGGAUCUUAUUUAAACUUUUUUUUUUUCGGCUGGGCCUGCACCAUGCAGAAAUUCCCAGGCCAGGGAUCAAACCUGCUCCACAGCAGUAAUCUGGGCCACAGCAAUGACAAUACUGUGUCCUUAACCAUUAAACCACCAGGGAACUCCCUAAAACUUUUUUUUUUUUUCUUUUUAGGGUUGGCCCUGUGGCAUAUGAAAGUUCCUGGGCUAAGGGUCAAAUUGGAGCUGCAGCGGCUGGCACGUAGCACAGCCAUGGCAAUGCCAGAUCUGAGCCCCAUCUGUGACCUUGUGGCAACGCUGGAUCCUAACCCACUGAGUGAGGCCAGGGAUACUAGUCGGAUUCUUAACCUGCUGAGCCACAAUAGGAACUCCCCUAAAACUUUAAAAAAAAAAUUUUUUUUUUUUACACUGCUCCAGCAGAAGAGGGUAGUGGUAGAAAUCCACUUAGUCCCCAUUAACACCCAAGGGUGGGGAGCCCACCUUGCUGGGCAGAGGUAGAAGGUCCAUCUCCCCACGUGGUCUUUACUGACACUGCAGUAGGGGUUGGGGCUCCUUAUUGCUGGGUGAUGGUGGACGACCUAAAAAAACAGCCUUUUAUUGUUGUUGUAUUCCCUGC
rnacentral:tRNA from 1 species